rnacentral:tRNA from 1 species
GCCAGUGUGGCUCAGUGGACAGAGCGUCGGCCUGUGGACUGAAGGGUCCUGGGUUCGAUUCCCAGUCAGGGCA